GGGUAACGGCUCACCUAGGCGACGAUCCCUAGCUGGUCUGAGAGGAUGACCAGCCACACUGGAACUGAGACACGGUCCAGACUCCUACGGGAGGCAGCAGUGGGGAAUAUUGCACAAUGGGCGCAAGCCUGAUGCAGCCAUGCCGCGUGUAUGAAGAAGGCCUUCGGGUUGUAAAGUACUUUCAGCGGGGAGGAAGGGAGUAAAGUUAAUACCUUUGCUCAUUGACGUUACCCGCAGAAGAAGCACCGGCUAACUCCGUGCCAGCAGCCGCGGUAAUACGGAGGGUGCAAGCGUUAAUCGGAAUUACUGGGCGUAAAGCGCACGCAGGCGGUUUGUUAAGUCAGAUGUGAAAUCCCCGGGCUCAACCUGGGAACUGCAUCUGAUACUGGCAAGCUUGAGUCUCGUAGAGGGGGGUAGAAUUCCAGGUGUAGCGGUGAAAUGCGUAGAGAUCUGGANGNGAAUACCGGUGGCGAAGGCGGCCCCCUGGACGAAGACUGACGCUCAGGUGCGAAAGCGUGGGGAACAAACAGGAUUAGAUACCCUGGUAGUCCACGCCGUAAACGAUGUCGACUUGCAGGUUGUGCCCUUGAGGCGUGGCUUCCGGAGCUAACGCGUUAAGUCGACCGCCUGGGGAGUACGGCCGCAAGGUUAAAACUCAAAUGAAUUGACGGGGGCCCGCACAAGCGGUGGAGCAUGUGGUUUAAUUCGAUGCAACGCGAAGAACCUUACCUGGUCUUGACAUCCACGGAAGUUUUCAGAGAUGAGAAUGUGCCUUCGGGAACCGUGAGACAGGUGCUGCAUGGCUGUCGUCAGCUCGUGUUGUGAAAUGUUGGGUUAAGUCCCGCAACGAGCGCAACCCUUAUCCUUUGUUGCCAGCGGUCCGGCCGGGAACUCAAAGGAGACUGCCAGUGAUAAACUGGAGGAAGGUGGGGAUGACGUCAAGUCAUCAUGGCCCUUACGACCAGGGCUACACACGUGCUACAAUGGCGCAUACAAAGAGAAGCGACCUCGCGAGAGCAAGCGGACCUCAUAUAGUGCGUCGUAGUCCGGAUUGCAGUCUGCAACUCGACUCCAUGAAGUCGGAAUCGCUAGUAAUCGUGCAUCAGA
rnacentral:rRNA from 1 species